rnacentral:rRNA from 1 species
UACGAAGGGGGCUAGCGUUGCUCGGAAUUACUGGGCGUAAAGGGUGCGUAGGCGGGUCUUUAAGUCAGGGGUGAAAUCCUGGAGCUCAACUCCAGAACUGCCUUUGAUACUGAGGAUCUUGAGUUCGGGAGAGGUGAGUGGAACUGCGAGUGUAGAGGUGAAAUUCGUAGAUAUUAGGAAGAACACCAGUGGCGAAGGCGGCUCACUGGUCCGGUACUGACGCUGAGGUGCGAAAGCGUGGGGAGCAAACAGG